rnacentral:rRNA from 1 species
UUAGGAAUUUUCCACAAUGGGCGCAAGCCUGAUGGAGCAACGCCGCGUGCAGGAUGAAGGUUUUCGGAUUGUAAACUGCUUUUAUAAGUGAAGAAUAUGACGGUAACUUAUGAAUAAGGAUCGGCUAACUCCGUGCCAGCAGCCGCGGUCAUACGGAGGAUCCAAGCGUUAUCCGGAUUUACUGGGCGUAAAGAGUUGCGUAGGUGGUUUGUUAAGUGAAUAGUGAAAUCUUGUGGCUCAACCAUAAGGC